UACGGGGGGGGUAAGCGUUGUUCGGAAUUACUGGGCGUAAAGGGCUCGUAGGUGGCCAACUAAGUCAGACGUGAAAUCCCUCGGCUUAACCGGGGAACUGCGUCUGAUACUGGAUGGCUUGAGUUUGGGAGAGGGACGCGGAAUUCCAGGUGUAGCGGUGAAAUGCGUAGAUAUCGGCAGGAACACCCAGGGGGAAACCAGCCGACUGGGCAAGUGCUGACGCUGAGGUGCGAGAGCGUGGGGAGCGAACCGG
rnacentral:rRNA from 1 species